rnacentral:lncRNA from 1 species
GGUGUAAGGAUAAUCAGAUUCUGUGUCGAUUCCACCGUUGUUAAUAACCCAUUCAAAUGCAUAGUCCAUGUAGCCUCCAUCACAUCCAUAGCUUGUGGUAUCACAAUCCACGAGUUCUUGUUCCGAAAGGCUAAUGAGGUCUCCAGUGACCAAGGCAUUUAUUCCUUCAAUGGCUCCAGUCGUAGAGAACGACCAACAACUUCCUGUUAACAAAAAUUACACACACAGUCAAGAAACUAUAGAAUAUAACAAUUUGUGACUGGUGAAAACGCUAAAAGUACUAUUAUUUAGUGAUCAGGUCAAAAAAGAAGAACAAGACGUACCACAGCUUCCUUGGUCCUUAACAGGAGUAACGAUUCCCCUUUUCCUCCAAUCCAAGCUCGAUGGUGCUUCGCAUGAUUGUACCGUCUUGUGCAAGUUACUCUUUGCAUUACCAAUCGCUUUGCCAAUAGGCUUUUGAAUCUUUUUCAAAUAAAUUUCUCGAAACUCCUCAUUGCUCAUAUCAGCAAACUUGUUCAACCCAACAACAUGCCCACCAGGAUUAUUUUUCUUUUCAACAACAUACUCCAAAUUAUUCUUAAAAUUCCUGAACCUCCUUUCUGCCUCUUCUGUAUGCUUGUAAGCCUUGCCAUGCUUAUCUUUCCAUCGUUGAAAUAACUCGAAUACCCGCUCCUCUGAAACAAACUCAUUAAAGUCAUGACCAAUGAUG